rnacentral:rRNA from 1 species
CUUUCCUCCGGAAGGCUCGUCCGCGGAGGGUGAGUCAGGGCCUAAGGUGAGGCCGAAAGGCGUAGCUAAUGGAUAACGGGUUAAUAUUCCUGUACCAUCUAUUGUUGAUAUCGAGGGACGGAGAAGGCUACAUCAGCCGGAUGUUGGUUACCGGUUUAAGCGCCUAAGACGUUGAUAAGUGGAGAAAACACUUUGAGUUAAAGCGUGAAUACGAAAUGCUACGGCAUUGAAGUGAUCUAUGCCAGGCUUCCAAGAGAAUCUCGUCAUAUCUUAAGCAGUAGAUGCCUGUACCUUAAACCGACACAGGUAGGUAGGUAGAGUAUACCAAGGGGCGCGAGAUAACUCUCUCUAAGGAACACGGCAAAAUAACCUCGUAACUUCGGAAGAAGAGGUACCCUAAAAAAGGGUUGCAAUAACCAGACCCUGGCGACUGUUUACCAAAAACACAGGUCUCCGCUAAUUCGUAAGAUCAAGUAUGGAGGCUGACGCCUGCCCAGUGCCGGAAGGUCAAAGAAGUUGGUCAAUCUUUGGAUGAAGCUGGCGACUGAAGCCCCGGUGAACGGCGGCCGUAACAAUAACGGUCCUAAGGUAGCGAAGUUCCUUGUCGGGUAAGUUCCGACCCGCACGAAAGGCGUAACGAUCAGGGUGCUGUCUCGGAGAGAGACUCGGCGAAAUAGACAUGUCUGUGAAGAUGCGGACUACCUGCACCUGGACAGAAAGACCCUAUGAAGCUUUACUGUAUCUUGGAAUUGGGUUUGGGCCUUGCUUGCGCAGGAUAGGUGGGAGGCUGUGAAGAUAUUCUUGCGGGAAUGUUGGAGCCAACGGUGAGAUACCACUCUAGUAAGGCUAAAAUUCUAACUCUGAGCCGUUAUCCGGUCAGAGAACAGUUUCAGGUGGGCAGUUUGACUGGGGCGGUCGCCUCCUAAAAGGUAACGGAGGCGCGCAAAGGUUCCCUCAGGCUGGUUGGACAUCAGUCGUAGAGAGUAAAGGCAUAAGGGAGCUUGACUGCGAGACCCACAAGUCGAGCAGAGACGAAAGUCGGCCUUAGUGAUCCGACGGUUCCACGUGGAAGGGCCGUCGCUCAACGGAUAAAAGUUACUCUAAGGAUAACAGGCUGAUCUCCCCCAAGAGUUCACAUCGACGGGGAGGUUUGGCACCUCGAUGUCGGCUCAUCGCAUCCUGGGGCGGUAGUACGUCCCAAGGGUUGGGCUGUUCGCCCAUGAAAGCGGUACGCGAGCUGGGUUCAGAACGUCAUGAGACAGUUCGGUCCAUAUCCGGUGCAGGCGUUAGAGCAUUGAGAGGAGUCCCCCUUAGUACGAGAGGACCGGGGGGAAUACACCGCUGGUGUACCAGUUAUCGUGCCAACGGUAAACGCUGGGUAGCCAUGUGUAGCGCGGAUAACUGCUGAAAGCAUCUAAGUAGGAAGCCCACCUUAAGAUGAGUGCUCUCUCCGCUAUAAGCGGGUAAGGUCACGGUAAGAACAACCGUUAUAUAGGCAUUAAGUAUACGUGCAGUAAUGCAUUUAGCUGAGAUGUACUAACAGACCGAGGGCUUGAUCAA